rnacentral:tRNA from 1 species
GCCGGCGUUGCGGAGCUCGGUUUAACGCACCAGCCUCGAGAGCUGGAGCCCGUAAGGGCACGCAGGUUCAAAUGCUUGAAAUUCCUGCCGCCGGCGCCA